GACACAGAGAGUCAAAUUGAGACUUUAAAGAAGUUCAAAAAAUUCACUUAUUUUGGAUCUAUUAGUCGACAAAUCUCUACUAUAUCUGCUGCCUUGUGCCAAAAGUUUCACAUUUUGCUGUGGAAUGCCCUCAUUAAUCUAGUUCCAGGCAUCAAAUACAUAAGUGAUAUAAAGUUGAUGCACAUUCAAACCCUUGAAAUAGUUUGAAUGAUGUGCCAUGAGGGAGUUAUAUGGAUUAAUGCUGAAGCCUCGAAGUCAUUGGCUACUCCAAUUUUAACAGCCACAAGAUUCGGGAUUUGCG